CGCGUAGGCGGCCUGCUAAGUCGAACGUGAAAUCCCCGGGCUCAACCCGGGAACUGCGUCCGAUACUGGCGGGCUUGAAUCCGGGAGAGGGAUGUGGAAUUCCAGGUGUAGCGGUGAAAUGCGUAGAUAUCUGGAGGAACACCGGUGGCGAAGGCGGCAUCCUGGACCGGUAUUGACGCUGAGGCGCGAAAGCCAGGGGAGCAAACG
rnacentral:rRNA from 1 species